AUGCUAGCUGCAGAUAGCAAUACAGGGCACAAUAGGCAAUCAACACGCCCCAAAAGUGGCUAUGAACCUUCGGAUACAGAAACUGAGUGGCAUGAUAGCCCUUGGAAUGAUGCAAUAUUGAAAUCACAGCGGACUCGGUUGCCUAAAGAUCCUGCUAGGGACCCCCAAGUUGGUGCUAGAAGGCAAAACACAUCUCCGAACCGUGUAAGAGAUUAUCCUGACAAGAAAACUUCAAGCUUGAGGAAUAAUCGUACUCCUCCCAGGGUCACCGAACAGAGGCGCCAUACUUCCCCAUAUGCUGGUGGAAACAAUGAAUCACGCAAGAAGAGCAGCCGGACACCUCCCAGAUUUCGGCCUUCUAUGGAAAAAUUUAGUCGAUCAUCGAUCAAGGAGAGGAUAUCCCGUAGCCGGUCAAUUUCUACACCGAAACUACGACCUCAUGAGAAGGAGCAUCCUUCUAGAGUUCCUGCAUUCCGUGGCACUCCUGUCUCAACACAGGUAGAAAGAGACUCAAUUGAUGUUAUGAAAGGUGGUUCACAUGCAGAAAAUUGUUCCCCAGAGAUCAAUGAGUUGGGUGCAAACAGCAAGGGGCCUAGUUCCAAACAUAAUGAGUAUACAUGUACAAGCACAGAGUCUGCAGGUGACAUCUUCUUCUCCCGUGACUGUAGGGCCCCGCUUGCGAAAACAUUAGUAAAGAAUAACAGUAUUGACAAAUCCUUCACCUCUGAUUCAAACGUCGAUGAUGCUGAUGUUACUCAAGCAAAUAGCAAUAAUUUGGGCCAGACAUCACAGUUUGUUUCAGUUAGGACUGGUUUUUCACGAACUACAAACACCAGCCAUGCUAAUGGUCGGCACUCACAAGUUAGCAGUGGCACCACUUUGAGUAGGCGGUUAAACAGUGAUCGGUUUAGUGGGGAUAGUGGAAAGUUCAGUGAUUUCACUGAGAAACUAGUUGGAGGCGUCAUGAAAUUCACCUCUAGCAGGCAGAAGACCCAAAAUGAUGCUUGGUUUCCAUGUGCGAUUGGAAAGUCGUGCCGUAAACCAGAACCAGCGAGCCACAAAAAAAAUGAUGAUUCUGAAUCAACUUUUAUUCGGAAGGCACUUGUUGUGGAGAAGAUUAGACUUUUCUGGGCUGAUAAAUAUCGUCCACGGACUUUGAGUGGAUUUACUUGUCACAGGGAGCAAGUUCAACAGCUUAAACAAUUGGUUUCCCCUGAGUUUUGUCCUCAUAUCAUUCUCAAAGGGCCUCCAGGAUCAGGAAAGAGAUCAUUAUGCAGAGCAGUACUCACUGAGAUCUUUGGUGAUUCCUCUCUGAAUGUAUCUCACUAUUUGAAGAGUUGCAAUGCCCAGGGACCUGCAUCUGCGCCCAUUUUUGUCCCAUUAUCAUCAAGUGAUCACCACGUUGAACUCAAUAUGAGGACUCAAUCCAAGCAUGCUAGAUAUGCUUUGACAGCUCUGGCAAAUGAAAUGUCAAAUAAGCAUAAAAUUACUGAGAUAGCUGCAACCAAGAACUUCAAAGUUAUUGUUCUCUAUGAUGUUGACAAAGUUAGUGAGAACAAUCAGCGGUUGAUAAAAUGGAUAAUUGAUUCCUCCUCUGAUGCAUGCAAAAUAAUAAUGACUUGCCAAGAUGGGCCCAAUCUUCUUGAUUCUAUUACAAGCCGUUGCAAGCUUAUUAGCAUUAGUGUGCCAAAUACACGUGAGGUUGUGGAGGUUCUCACUCACAUAUCAAAAAGGGAGAGUUUCGAUCUCCCCGCAAGUUUGGCUUACACCAUUGCGACUCGAUCCGCGCACAACAUGAGGGAGGCGAUAUUGGCUCUGGAGGCAUGCAGAGCUAACAGCUACCCCUUCGUGGAUGGACAAGCUAUACCGCUAGGAUGGGAUGGUGUUCUUGAGGAACUCGCAGCAGAAAUUUUAGAAGAUCCUUCUCCCAAAAGGUUAUUUUUGGUACGAGGCAAGCUCCAAAAACUUUUGGUUGAAUCCGUGCCUCCUAAACUUGUUCUCCAGAAACUCGUAGAGCUGUUCCUGAAGGGAAUACAUGCUAACAUAAAGAGGGAUGUUUAUUACUGGCACGCCUACUACGAUAAGAGGUUGCCGGCUGGUGCCAGUGCACUGCUGAAACUGGAAGAAUUUAUCGCCAAGUUCAUGAGCAUCCACCGGAAGAGCUUGGCAGCCGAUUCAUGA
rnacentral:rRNA from 1 species